GGUCCAGUGGUCCAGUGGUAAGAUGCUCUGCAUUGUAUUCACGGAUGCUGGCCCGCUGGCUUCAGCUGGUGAGACGUGCAAAGAGGCGUGGGUUCGAGUCCCACCAUGGUCCU